rnacentral:rRNA from 2 species
GCUCCCGGAUGUUAGCGGCGGACGGGUGAGUAACACGUGGGUAACCUGCCUGUAAGACUGGGAUAACUCCGGGAAACCGGAGCUAAUACCGGAUAGUUCCUUGAACCGCAUGGUUCAAGGAUGAAAGACGGUUUCGGCUGUCACUUACAGAUGGACCCGCGGCGCAUUAGCUAGUUGGUGGGGUAAUGGCUCACCAAGGCGACGAUGCGUAGCCGACCUGAGAGGGUGAUCGGCCACACUGGGACUGAGACACGGCCCAGACUCCUACGGGAGGCAGCAGUAGGGAAUCUUCCGCAAUGGACGAAAGUCUGACGGAGCAACGCCGCGUGAGUGAUGAAGGUUUUCGGAUCGUAAAGCUCUGUUGUUAGGGAAGAACAAGUGCGAGAGUAACUGCUCGCACCUUGACGGUACCUAACCAGAAAGCCACGGCUAACUACGUGCCAGCAGCCGCGGUAAUACGUAGGUGGCAAGCGUUGUCCGGAAUUAUUGGGCGUAAAGGGCUCGCAGGCGGUUUCUUAAGUCUGAUGUGAAAGCCCCCGGCUCAACCGGGGAGGGUCAUUGGAAACUGGGAAACUUGAGUGCAGAAGAGGAGAGUGGAAUUCCACGUGUAGCGGUGAAAUGCGUAGAGAUGUGGAGGAACACCAGUGGCGAAGGCGACUCUCUGGUCUGUAACUGACGCUGAGGAGCGAAAGCGUGGGGAGCGAACAGGAUUAGAUACCCUGGUAGUCCACGCCGUAAACGAUGAGUGCUAAGUGUUAGGGGGUUUCCGCCCCUUAGUGCUGCAGCUAACGCAUUAAGCACUCCGCCUGGGGAGUACGGUCGCAAGACUGAAACUCAAAGGAAUUGACGGGGGCCCGCACAAGCGGUGGAGCAUGUGGUUUUAAUUCGAAGCAACGCGAAGAACCUUACCAGGUCUUGACAUCCUCUGACAACCCUAGAGAUAGGGCUUUCCCUUCGGGGACAGAGUGACAGGUGGUGCAUGGUUGUCGUCAGCUCGUGUCGUGAGAUGUUGGGUUAAGUCCCGCAACGAGCGCAACCCUUGAUCUUAGUUGCCAGCAUUCAGUUGGGCACUCUAAGGUGACUGCCGGUGACAAACCGGAGGAAGGUGGGGAUGACGUCAAAUCAUCAUGCCCCUUAUGACCUGGGCUACACACGUGCUACAAUGGACAGAACAAAGGGCUGCAAGACCGCAAGGUUUAGCCAAUCCCAUAAAUCUGUUCUCAGUUCGGAUCGCAGUCUGCAACUCGACUGCGUGAAGCUGGAAUCGCUAGUAAUCGCG